rnacentral:rRNA from 1 species
CGCCAGACUCCUACGGGAGGCAGCAGUGAGGAAUAUUGGUCAAUGGGCGGGAGCCUGAACCAGCCAAGUCGCGUGAGGGAAGACGGUCCUAUGGAUUGUAAACCUCUUUUGUCGGGGAGCAAAGAGGCCACGUGUGGUCAAAAGCGAGAGUACCCGAAGAAAAAGCAUCGGCUAACUCCGUGCCAGCAGCCGCGGUAAUACGGAGGAUGCGAGCGUUAUCCGGAUUUAUUGGGUUUAAAGGGUGCGUAGGCGGGGCGGUAAGUCAGCGGUAAAAAUGCGGAGCUCAACUCCGUCGAGCCGUUGAAACUGCUGUUCUUGAGUGAGCGAGAAGUAUGCGGAAUGCGUGGUGUAGCGGUGAAAUGCAUAGAUAUCACGCAGAACUCCGAUUGCGAAGGCAGCAUACCGGCGCGCAACUGACGCUCAUGCACGAAAGCGUGGGGAGCGAACAGGAUUAGAUACCCGAGUA